GACGAACGCUGGCGGCGUGCUUAACACAUGCAAGUCGAACGGUGAAGCGCCUUCCUUUUUGGUGGGUGUGGAUGAGUGGCGAACGGGUGAGUAACACGUGAGUAACCUGCCCCCUUCUUCUGGAUAACCGCAUGAAAGUGUGGCUAAUACGGGAUAUUCUGGGUCUGUCGCAUGAUGGGUCUGGGAAAGAUAUUGUUUCGGUGGGGGAUGGGCUCGCGGCCUAUCAGCUUGUUGGUGGGGUGAUGGCCUACCAAGGCGGUGACGGGUAGCCGGCCUGAGAGGGUGGACGGUCACACUGGGACUGAGACACGGCACAGACUCCUACGGGAGGCAGCAGUGGGGAAUAUUGCACAAUGGGCGAAAGCCUGAUGCAGCGACGCCGCGUGAGGGAUGGAGGCCUUCGGGUUGUGAACCUCUUUCGCCAGUGAAGCAGGCCUGCCUCGUUUGUGGGUGGGUUGACGGUAGCUGGAUAAGAAGCGCCGGCUAACUACGUG
rnacentral:rRNA from 1 species